rnacentral:misc_RNA from 1 species
GAUGAAGAACGUAGCGAAAUGCGAUAAGUAAUGUGAAUUGCAGAAUUCAGUGAAUCAUCGAAUCUUUGAACUCACAUUGCGCCCGCCAGUAUUCUGGCGGGCAUGCCUGUCUGAGCGUCAUUUCAACCCUCAUGCCCCUAGGGCGUGGUGUUGGGGAUCGGCCAAAGCCCGCGAGGGACGGCCGGCCCCUAAAUCUAGUGGCGGACCCGUCGUGGCCUCCUCUGCGAAGUAGUGAUAUUCCGCAUCGGAGAGCGAUGAGCCCCUGCCGUUAAACCCCCAACUUUCCAAGGUUGACCUCAGAUCAGGUAGGAAUACCCGCUGAACUUAAGCAUAUCAAUAAGCGGAGGA